UUUUUUUCCCAACCAAGUUAAAAGAGGAAAACAAACAAUUGAGGUUAUGUUUUAAUUUUUCUUCUUUGUUGUAUUUAGCAAGUGUAUAAGUUUAAAACACGACGCGGUGAUGAUAUGAGACUCUGUCCAAAGUAUGACACGAUUCCUCAAACUUACGCAAUUACAUGACGAGGGAUAUAGAAACAGAAGAGUGUUGAACUCAUUAAAGGUAAGUUUUAGUCCACGAGAAGUAUGAUGACAAAACCAUGAUGCUAGAACACGAGAAUAAGUUUUGGUGCAUAAUCAAUAAACUAAGGUAUAAUACCAGAAUAAGAACCUAAUUAAUUAAAGUAUGAUGAGCUGUUCUGAAAAUUCCCAUACCAGAAUAAGAAC